rnacentral:rRNA from 1 species
UAGUAACGGCGAGUGAAGCGGCAACAGCUCAAAUUUGAAAUCUGGCUUCGGCCCGAGUUGUAAUUUGCAGAGGAAGCUUUGGGCGCGGCACCGACUGAGUCCCCUGGAACGGGGCGCCAUAGAGGGUGAGAGCCCCGUAUAGUCGGACGCUAAGCCUGUGUAAAGCUCCUUCGACGAGUCGAGUAGUUUGGGAAUGCUGCUCAAAAUGGGAGGUAAAUUUCUUCUAAAGCUAAAUACCGGCCAGAGACCGAUAGCGCACAAGUAGAGUGAUCGAAAGAUGAAAAGCACUUUGAAAAGAGGGUUAAAUAGCACGUGAAAUUGUUGAAAGGGAAGCGCUUGUGACCAGACUUGCGCCUGGCUGAUCAUCCGGUGUUCUCACCGGUGCACUCUGCCAGGCUCAGGCCAGCAUCGGUUCUCGCGGGGGGAUAAAGGCCCUGGGAACGUAGCUCCUCCGGGAGUGUUAUAGCCCAGGGUGCAAUGCCCUCGCGGGGACCGAGGUUCGCGCAUCUGCAAGGAUGCUGGCGUAAUGGUCAUCAGCGACCCGUCUUGAAACACGGACCAAGGAGUCAAGGUUUUGCGCGAGUGUUUGGGUGUAAAACCCGCACGCGUAAUGAAAGUGAACGUAGGUGAGAGCUUCGGCGCAUCAUCGACCGAUCCUGAUGUUUUCGGAUGGAUUUGAGUAGGAGCGUUAAGCCUUGGACCCGAAAGAUGGUGAACUAUGCUUGGAUAGGGUGAAGCCAGAGGAAACUCUGGUGGAGGCUCGCAGCGGUUCUGACGUGCAAAUCGAUCGUCAAAUCUGAGCAUGGGGGCGAAAGACUAAUCGAACCAUCUAGUAGCUGGUUACCGCCGAAGUU